GACGAACGCUGGCGGCGUGCCUAAUACAUGCAAGUAGAACGAGUUGCGAACGGGUGAGUAACGCGUGGUAACCUGCCUCAUAGCGGGGGAUAACUAUUGGAAACGCUAGCUAAUACCGCAUAACAUCAGAUGUGGCCAGGUGGGAUUAGCUUGUUGGUGGGGUAACGGCUCACCAAGGCGGCGAUCCCUAGCUGGCCUGAGAGGAUGACCAGCCACACUGGAACUGAGACACGGUCCAGACUCCUACGGGAGGCAGCAGUGGGGAAUAUUGCACAAUGGGCGCAAGCCUGAUGCAGCCAUGCCGCGUGUAUGAAGAAGGCCUUCGGGUUGUAAAGUACUGUCAGCGGGGAGGCGUUACCCGCAGAAGAAGCACCGGCUAACUCCGUGCCAGCAGCCGCGGUAAUUC
rnacentral:rRNA from 1 species